GAUACUUUUUGGACGUAAUUUGUAGUACCCAUAAGAUGCAGUGUCCAAAAAUAAUGCUACCUUAACCCUGCAGUUUAUGUUUAGUAUUCUACCUUAAAAUGUUUACUUUUGGCGCAAUAGCUUCUUUGGAUUUUUAUAUUGAACAUUGGACCAUUUUUACUCAACCUUUGGAUAAUUUGUUGCUGUUUAUGUUGUAGAACAACAUAUGUAACACUAUGGUUCCACUAACUUGUUAUAUUUUCCACUAAUGUCCUUCCUGCUUCCAUCUACAUUGCUGCCCCAUCACUCCUCUACCAAAUCCCAGCUUCAUGGUGGAUUCAUCUACAGGAAUCCACACCUACGGCAGUUCUCCUAGAAACCAUCUGCCCGAAGUUCAUCUCCCUACCACUCUAGUUUGUGACAGAACAGAGAAUUGUUACAGCUGAGAUCAUAGACAAAUCUUAUGUUGCAACAACAGGUUUGGAGGUUAUGCUGAGAAUUAAAAUGUCAAGGUUCAAAAAAUAGAUGCUUCAAGUAUUUAAUCUCUUCCAAAUACUCUUAUCAUGUUCCUUUCAGUGGUUAGAGCCCACAACUAAGAUAUGUUUGCUUCACACUCAUGCUUGUAAUACGCCUAUAUGGUUUCUUAUUUCA